GGCCGAGCGGCCUAGCUGGUCCGGCGCGCGGGUCUCCCCGCGAGGCCCGACCUUUGUUCCCGACCUGCCCGGCCGCGCCGUCCCGGGUGCGUCCCGCGUGCCUGCCCCGCCUCUCUCCUCACAUUUUCCGGUCGCCGUGGCCCCUUUUCGGAGCCGGGAGUGCGGAGGCGGUUUCCUCGCGUGUCUGUGGCUGGGGGCCGCCCCUCGCGCCCCCCGGGUUCGGCGCGCACCUACUCUGCGGCUCGGCCGCCGCGCCUGAGUUCGGCGAAAGCCUUUCCAGGGCGGCGGUGUUUGCUUAGGGUCUCCCGCACCACCUGGAUUGCCCGGAGAGCGAUGUAUGAGCUUGCAAAUUUACACACAGACACACACACACAGGCCGGUGGAGUGCAGGCUUGGGCCCCAGAGCGGCCCACGGUGGAAAAUAAGUGGAGCCUAGUGGAAGAUCUCCAGAGAGUUGGGAACACGCCGGCCUUCAGAGUGACUGUGGGACCCGGGCCUUUCCUCUCUGCUCCCUGGUGACGGGAGAGUGGUCUGCUCUGCCAUGGGCUCCCACCACGAUGCUCUUCCUUGCCACAGACGCAAAGCAAUGAGG
rnacentral:lncRNA from 1 species